rnacentral:tRNA from 1 species
GUCUUAGUAGCGUAGUGGUUAGUGCACAGCCCCGGAAAGGUUGAGACGCGGGUUCGAUUCCCGUCUGAGCUG